UUAAGAUUAAUGUUAGCAGUUAGUAAGUUGAACAACUAAGGUAGUAAUACAAAACAUUAUUAAAUUUAGUAUGGGUGAUUGAAAUUUAAUGUUUCUGCAUGAAGAUAGUACUGUGAAGGAAAUCAGAAAACUAAGGAUUAGAAGUAAUUAAAAUCCGUACCUUUUGCAUCAUGGCUUAACUAGAUUAGGUCCUAAAUAGGAGAUCUCGAAACCUAAUGAGCUAUCUUUGUUCCUUUUUAUAGACUGUGACUGAGUUGGUUGUGGCAAAAACCUCUCAAGAAAUAAAGAUAGAUAUGAAAUUUUAUACGCAUUAGGUGAUAGCUAGUUCUUUUCUAAAGGCAUAUUAGUGCCCUAAGUCAUAAGUUCAACAGCACAAAUAGAUAUUUGUGAUUGUGUGUGCUGGUUUAGUCAGAUUUUCGAGGAUAAGCUCGAAAGUGAUUAGGAAUUGCAUUUAAUUUUUUCUGAGAUAUAAGCUUAGUAAUGGCUAUUGAUAUAGGAUUUUGUUAUAAUUCAUUUUUUGAUUCUCAAUAUAAUUUAUUUGCUUAAUAAAUAUAGAGAAGAAAUUUUAAUAACUUAAUCAUAAAAUAAUUUUAUGUUAAGAUGAGUAUUAAAUUAUUUAUUAAACUAACUAAGAAAUUAAAACUUAGUAUUAUGUAAAAUAUUUUAAAAUAAAAUCAUAAAUAGAGGAACUCGGCAAGUCCGUAUUCUGCCUGUUUAUCAAAAACAUGGCUUCGUGUUAAUAUUAAAAUACGAAGUCGGACCUGCCCAGUGAAUUUUAAACGGCCGCGGUACUCUGACCGUGCAAAGGUAGCAUAAUCAUUUGCCUUAUAAUUGAAGGCUGGAAUGAAUGGUUUGACAAGAAUACACCUGUCUCUUUUAGAUUAUUUAGAAUUUUAUUUCUGGAUGAAAAAGUCCAGAUAGUAUUAAAAGACAAGAAGACCCUAUCGAGCUUUAGAAAAGUUAGUAGACUUAAUGCAAAUUAAUAUAAGUAAAAAAAAAGCUAUUAAAUAUUUUGGUUGGGGCAACCGAGGAGCAGAUAAAGCCUCCUCUAAAUUGUAAAUCUUACUUGUGUUGAUCCAGAAAUUUUGAUCAAAGGAAUUAGUUACCGUAGGGAUAACAGCAUUAUCUUUUUCAAGAGCCCAUAUCGAAAAAAAGGUUUGUGACCUCGAUGUUGGACCAGAAUAUCCUAAAGAUGCAGAAGUCUUUAAGGGUUGGUCUGUUCGACCAUUAAA
rnacentral:rRNA from 1 species